rnacentral:rRNA from 1 species
GGAAUAUUGCACAAUGGGCGCAAGCCUGAUGCAGCAACGCCGCGUGAGGGACGACGGCCUUCGGGUUGUAAACCUCUUUUAGUAGGGAAGAAGCGAAAGUGACGGUACCUGCAGAAAAAGCACCGGCUAACUACGUGCCAGCAGCCGCGGUAAUACGUAGGGUGCAAGCGUUGUCCGGAAUUAUUGGGCGUAAAGAGCUCGUAGGCGGUUUGUCGCGUCUGCUGUGAAAACCCGAGGCUCAACCUCGGGCCUGCAGUGGGUACGGGCAGACUAGAGUGCGGUAGGGGAGAUUGGAAUUCCUGGUGUAGCGGUGGAAUGCGCAGAUAUCAGGAGGAACACCAAUGGCGAAGGCAGAUCUCUGGGCCGUAACUGACGCUGAGGAGCGAAAGCAUGGGGAGCGAACAGGAUUAGAUACCCCUG